CGCAUUGUGUCGCGGCCGGGUCCGGCGAAAGCCGCGUACUCGCCCGCAAUGCGCUACCUUCCGACCGACGCGCCGCUGCGCUUCGUUGCGUGGCGGCGCGCAUCACCGGCCGGGACUUUUACCUUGAGAAAAUUAGAGUGUUCAAAGCAGGCGCUGUGCGCCCGGAUACAUUAGCAUGGGAUAAUAGAAUAGGACGGCGGUUCUAUUUUGUUGGUUGCCUAGGACCGCAGUA
rnacentral:rRNA from 1 species